rnacentral:lncRNA from 1 species
GAUGCGCACACCUCCAACAAAACCUCACAAGCCUCCGCCUAAUCAGAACUCCAAAAUCUCGCCGGAAAUCAAAUCGUCAUCAUCUCGGUCGUUUUCAGUCAUUCAGAUCUAGGAUUUACGGAGAUGCCGCAAGGGAAGUGGUUGUGGUGUGGUUAAAUCUUCAAGGCGAAGAUACCACAGCUCCAGAUUCUUAAAGUUUGCAAGUAUCAGCCAUCUCAUAAUCGGGAUUUGGAUCAUCUUCGGAAGCUCCAUGAUCGCUGCUGACAUUGAUAACCUCUUCCCAAUUCCAGGUGGCAAGAGACUCUAACCUUUUGUUUAGCUUGUCACACUUUCGUUUCUAAGAUAACAACAAUUUAAAAAAAUAAUGUGGACAUAAAAAAUAAAAUAUAUUACACUGCUAAAAUUCAGAUUUACCUGCUCACUGAUUUCACGUAGAAUUUCUGAAGCGGUUGGACUUGGCUCUCCAUCACAUUUAAUUAUCUCAACUCUUUUUAUAGGUUUCUACAAAAUCAAAGUACAUCAUUAGAUAUCACUUUUACAGAAUUUCUUAAUAUGUUUACUUACAUGUGAUUCGAGGUGUUGCUGCUCUUCGACUUCUUCGGUUUUGGGAUCAUCUUUUUCAACUUGCAAUUUUGAGAGAAAGAAUGGUAUCAUUUCAUGGCAGCAAACUUGCAACACAAUGUUUAGCUUUCAAUAAAGUUUUAUACUUUUUACUGUUUUAUUUUUUAUAAAAUAACCCGUUGUAA